rnacentral:sRNA from 1 species
CCAAAAGUCAUGGUCGAUCAAACGAGCUUUGCUAUUACUCAUUUUUUGUCUUCUGCUCACUUCAAUCACUUUCCUCUUCCGCCUUCGUGAGAAUGAUGCCGUAAUGCCGCAUCAUGAAGCGGAGAGGAGGAUAUGUGCGUUUGUGUUUAUGGCUACGUAGGACCCGAACAGCGGAAAGGAAUCUGCCUUCCAUCAUCAUCUCCUAUUCUUGUCCCUUCACUCCCUCUUCUGUCAUGUACAGUAUCCAAUCAUCACACAACGGAGCUCGCUACGGCGGACAACGCAAGGAAUGAGAUUUAAACACGUUAGUUAUUCGGCUCUCCGAAUUCUUUGGUUGGCGGUAUUAUGUCGCCGCUCUUCUGUCAUCGGUCACUGUCCUUUUAUCACCCUCUUCUUACCCUGUAUCAAGAGACCUCUUAACCUUUAUUGCUUGAUCAUCGUGUGACAAUCAUUUACGCUUAAGUCGUAGCCAAGAUCUUCUGCAGCUUUUCCAUUACCCUAUGUGAUCAUGCAUGAAUAAUGGAAGCCAAG